AAGAAAGAUAACCUGGCCUGAAAGAGUUAAUCACUCCUAGUUUUUUGUUUUUUGUUCUGUUACUAGCAUCUGUAGUUUCUGUAACUAGAUUUGUACUUCACAAAGCUAACCUAUUACUCUUUAACACUAUGUGAAUUACAUCCUGCACUCCCUUGUAGUAAAUCACCCCUUGUAGGAUUUGCAUUUCAGAAACAAGGUCGCAGGCCGGGUAACCCAGAGACAAACGGACCCAAUUACCCGACUGCCUGACGCCAGCUGUGACUGUUUUGAAAUAAUGCGGGAAGAAGAAGAAUGCAAGACCUUCACUACUUUGAUCCUUAUCAUGUACCCCGGACUGCAGCCCCACAUAUAAAAUCUUCUCCGAUUACCGAAGGAGGUGGGGGGCACAGUCCUUGAGGCGCUAGCCUGCUGUGUCUUCCCUUGUGCCUGGCAGAAAAAUCAAGCCACAUCUCUCUUCCUCCAAAAUCUGUCUCCGAAUUUCUUUUCGGCAUCGGUGCACAGAGAAGCCGAGAUUUCGGCCACAAGAUGGGGCUCCUCCGGGAUCUGCUCGCAGGCAAGCGGCUCCGCAGUGCCCCUCGGCUUGAUCGGAAGCUUGGGGAUCUCUCUCCACGCCCUUUAGGAGAGCGGAGGGUUCGAGGAUAUCCCUGAGUCCAGAUCACCAGGGACUCCCUGCCCCAGGGCUGUGCCCCGAUCACACCCGGCCCGCCGACUCGGCUGCGGAACUCCGAGGCUGCGGCAGAGAACGCGGGAGAGGCUGACCCAGCAGCUGCCAGGCUUCUUUGGCCUUAAGGACACCUUCUCUUCUCUUGCCUGUGCCGGCCUGGACUUCCACUCUGAGAAAACACUAAAUAUUGGAGGAUCAGAAAGAGGGCAUAUGGAGGUCGCGACACAACCCGUCUGCACCUACGUCUUUUGUCUCUAUAGACACAGUUUCACUCUGAUGCCUUUGCAAAAAUGCUUCCUCUUCAAGAAGAUUUAUAAAAAGGACUUUUGGAUAAAUACAAGUUUCUGACUUUCAGACCAUAAUGCUAAAUUGGAUAUAAAGAAGCUCUUCUCCUCAAGCUACUUAUGGUUUACAACAAUUUGGUGAUUUACACUUAUGGCUUAUCUCAGUAAUCUAUCUUUGGAUGAAGAUCAGAUGCCCCAUGACCUACAACCAGAGGAUUAUACAUACUGGAAAAGACAUAAUUUAAAGGACUAUCUCCAAACUGGAUGGAAGGACCCUUAUCAGAUUACAAUAGGGUCACAUCAAGAUAACGAUGAUGCAAAGAUUCCAGCCAUUUCUCGGAACAGAUCCUGCCAAAACAACAACAGAAGUCACCCCAGGGCCCUUCAUAAGACAGGGUGAGAGCUCCGUGACCCCAACUAGGUAGGGUCUAUGAGCCCCUUGCCAGGCUAAAGAAGCUACAGAAGACAUACCGUCCUCCCUUUUCCUCCCAAUGAAGAUUUAUUGGGGUUCACACCUCUCAGGGGGGAUAUAAAAUAGGAGAUAGAUGGGCCCCUGGGCCGGAUAGCUGGUGUUUGUCAAGUGGAGCAAAACUGAAGUUUUGUCCUCAGCCAGACAAGAAUGACGCCUGUUUCCCUCCCUCCAUUGAUAUGGAGGGAAUGAACUAGCAGUGGGGAAUUUGUUGCAGCAAAAAUAGAAGUGAAGUUUUCCCUCUCCUGAGAACAAGGGAACACUGAACAGGCUAGAGAAGAAAGAUAACCUGGCCUGAAAGAGUUAAUCACUCCUAGUUUUUUGUUUUUUGUUCUGUUACUAGCAUCUGUAGUUUCUGUAACUAGAUUUGUACUUCACAAAGCUAACCUAUUACUCUUUAACACUAUGUGAAUUACAUCCUGCACUCCCUUGUAGUAAAUCACCCCUUGUAGGAUUUGCAUUUCAGAAACAAGGUCGCAGGCCGGGUAACCCAGAGACAAACGGACCCAAUUACCCGACUGCCUGACGCCAGCUGUGACUGUUUUGAAAUAAUGCGGGAAGAAGAAGAAUGCAAGACCUUCACUACUUUGAUCCUUAUCAUGUACCCCGGACUGCAGCCCCACAUAUAAAAUCUUCUCCGAUUACCGAAGGAGGUGGGGGGCACAGUCCUUGAGGCGCUAGCCUGCUGUGUCUUCCCUUGUGCCUGGCAGAAAAAUCAAGCCACCUCUCUCUUCCUCCAAAAUCUCUGUCUCCGAAUUACUUUUCGGCAUCGGUGCACAGAGAAGCCGAGAUUUCGGCAACAGUUCUACUUAUUAACCCAAGGCUGAAGUCUCAGGCAAAGUGGGCUGCGUUUUUAUUUCAAGGACAUGUAAGAGUUAACCUCAGGCUUUCUCCUAGGCAUAUUUUUGUUCUCACAGGGUCAGAAUUCUGAAAAAAAGUAUUUUAUCAAACCAGCUUUCUCUAACUGCAUAUGCAAAAAGAAACAGUUUGGGAAUAAAAAAACUUCAU